rnacentral:lncRNA from 1 species
CACUUCAUCCCUGUACUGGGGUUUGGUACCUAUGCACCUCGAGAGGUACCUAAGAGUAAGGCUCUAGAAGCCACCAAAAUAGCUAUAGAUGCUGGUUUCCGCCAUAUCGAUUCUGCUGCUGUGUAUCAGAAUGAAAAGGAAGUAGGACUAGCCAUCCGAAGCAAGAUUGCAGACGGUACUGUGAAGAGAGAGGACAUAUUUUACACAUCAAAGGUACCGAAGGGAAUAUAGCGUGCAAGCGGAUGAACCAUGAUGCGUUGAAAUAAUCCUUCGCUGAUUAGGCCAGCAAAUGUUGGUGAACUAAACAUAGACAAACUUGUGAGCUUCAGUUUCCUCAUCUAAAUUCAUCAAUGGAAUGUUAGCAACCCUCUCGCCUGAGUUUCACUUCGACAGUGUCUGACUUAGAACGGGCAAGAAAACUGGCUUUUUUUAAUUUCCUGGACGAAUAUAAACAUUUCUCAUUGCUCCGAAAACUAUUUCCCUCUUUCAUCAGUUUGGUGUACUUUUAAUCAUCCAGAACGGGUGCAGGUCUGCUUGGAACAGUCACUGAAGCAGCUCCAGUUGGAGUACGUGGAUCUGUACCUCAUCCAUUUCCCAAUGGCCCUGAAGCCGGAAGAGGAUCUUAAGGCAAAAGAUGAGAAUGAAAAAUUAUUAUUUGAUGUAGUGGAUAUCUGUGACACCUGGAAAGCCAUGGAGAAGUGCAAGGAUGCAGGAUUGGCCAAGUCCAUUGGGGUGUCCAACUUUAACCGCAGGCAGCUGGAGA